rnacentral:rRNA from 1 species
AGUCGAGGGGCAUCGGGAUUGAAGCUUGCUUCAUUGCCGGCGACCGGCGCACGGGUGCGUAACGCGUAUGUAACCUACCUAUAACAGGGGCAUAACACUGAGAAAUUGGUACUAAUUCCCCAUAAUAUUCGGAGAGGCAUCUCUCCGGGUUGAAAACUCCGGUGGUUAUAGAUGGACAUGCGUUGUAUUAGCUAGUUGGUGAGGUAACGGCUCACCAAGGCAACGAUACAUAGGGGGACUGAGAGGUUAACCCCACACUGGUACUGAGACACGGACCAGACUCCUACGGGAGGCAGCAGUGAGGAAUAUUGGUCAAUGGACGCAAGUCUGAACCAGCCAUGCCGCGUGCAGGAAGACGGCUCUAUGAGUUGUAAACUGCUUUUGUACGAGGGUAAACUCACCUACGUGUAGGUGACUGAAAGUAUCGUACGAAUAAGGAUCGGCUAACUCCGUGCCAGCAGCCGCGGUAAUACGGAGGAUUCAAGCGUUAUCCGGAUUUAUUGGGUUUAAAGGGUGCGUAGGCGGUUUGAUAAGUUAGAGGUGAAAUCCCGGGGCUUAACUCCGGAACUGCCUCUAAUACUGUUAGACUAGAGAGUAGUUGCGGUAGGCGGAAUGUAUGGUGUAGCGGUGAAAUGCUUAGAGAUCAUACAGAACACCGAUUGCGAAGGCAGCUUACCAAACUAUAUCUGACGUUGAGGCACGAAAGCGUGNGGAGCAAACAGGAUUAGNUACCCUGGUAGUC